GUUAGAGGCAGCCACAGUUUGAUUUUUUUGGAAAGGUUUUUAUUUUUGUGGUUUGUUUUUUGAAUGAACAAAAGCACAAGCAAUUAAGCUUUGCACAGAGAGAGUGAGAGAGAGAGAGAGAGAUGAAUUCAAAAGAGAGUUGUAGAAGUGAGCUCCGCAUUGCGAUUCGUCAGCUCAGUGAUCGUUGCCUUUACACUGCUUCCAAAUGGGCAGCAGAACAGUUGAUGGGUAUUGAGCAAGACCCGGCAAACUUCACGCCUUCAAACACCAGAUUCCAGUGGGGAAGCUCAAGCAUUCGCAGGAGAUUCCGCACGAAUGAGAUCACUUCAACACCCAUUGCUGGUGUGUCAUACGUGUCCACUCCUGUGAUGGAGGAGGAUGAUGCUGUGGAUGGUGACUUUUACCUUCUGGCUAAGUCUUACUUUGACUGCCGAGAGUACAGGAGGGCUGCUCAUGUGCUACGGGACCAAACUGGGAAGAAAUCUGUGUUCUUGCGUUGUUAUGCUCUUUAUCUGGCUGGGGAAAAGCGGAAAGAAGAAGAGGUGAUAGAACUUGAGGGACCCUUAGGUAAGAGUGAUUCUGUGAAUAGCGAACUGGUCUCUUUGGAGUGCGAGUUAUCAAUACUACGCAAGAAUGGCUCGAUUGAUCCAUUUGGAUUGUACUUGUAUGGUCUUGUUCUCAAAGAGAAAGGCAGCGAGAAUGUUGCUCGUACAGUUCUUGUUGAGUCUGUGAAUAGCUACCCUUGGAACUGGAAUGCAUGGUCAGAGCUGCAGUCUUUGUGCACUACGAUUGACACCCUGAACAGCCUAAAUCUCAACAACCAUUGGAUGAAGGACUUCUUUCUUGCCAGUGCUUACCAAGAAAUUAGGAUGCACAGCGAAUCUUUAGCAAAAUAUGAAUAUCUACAGGGAACUUUUGGUUAUAGUAAUUACAUCCAGGCUCAAAUUGCAAAAGCCCAGUACAGUUUGAGGGAAUUUCAACAAGUUGAAACAAUAUUUGAAGAACUUCUAAGAAAUGAUCCUUACCGAGUUGAAGACAUGGAUAUGUAUUCCAAUGUGCUCUAUGCAAAUGAGUGUUCUUCUGCCCUGAGUUACCUUGCCCAUAGGGUAUUUAUGACUGAUAAAUACAGGCCUGAAUCUUGUUGCAUUAUUGGCAAUUACUAUAGUUUAAAGGGGCAGCAUGAGAAGUCGGUUAUGUAUUUUAGGAGGGCACUCAAAUUGAACAAAAAUUAUCUGUCUGCUUGGACACUUAUGGGUCAUGAGUAUAUUGAGAUGAAAAAUACUCCAGCUGCUGUGGAUGCCUAUCGACGGGCUAUAGAUAUAAAUCCAUGUGAUUAUCGAGCAUGGUAUGGACUAGGACAAGCUUAUGAGAUGAUGGGCAUGCCAUUCUAUGCCCUACAUUACUUCCGAAAAUCUGUAUUCUUGCAGCCAAAUGAUUCUCGGUUGUGGAUCUCAAUGGCUCAUUGUUAUGAAACUGAUCAACUUCGCAUGCUUGAGGAGGCAAUUAAGUGUUACAGAAGGGCAGCAAAUUGUAAUGACAGGGAAGCAAUUGCCCUGCACCAACUAGCAAAGUUGCAAUAUGAACUCGGGCGUCCUGAAGAGGCAGCAUUUUACUACAAGAAGGAUUUGGAGAGGAUGGAAGCUGAAGAGAGGGAAGGACCAAAUAUGGUAGAAGCUUUGCUUUAUCUUGCUACGUACUAUAAGACCCAGAAGAGAUUUGAGGAGGCAGAGGUGUAUUGUACCCGUCUUCUGGAUUUUACUGGCCCAGAGAAGGAAACAGCAAAGAGUUUACUUCGAGGAAUGAGAACAACACAAUCUGGUUUCCCUUCGAUGGAUGUUGAGCACUUCUCUCCCUGAAUUUUUUGUUUCCAAAUAGAUGUACAUGUAUGCCUCUACUCCCAGUUUCUGACUUAUGGAAAUCGAUGAAUGAUAAAAAGCUUGGGAUGAGAUCAGAAUGCAACCAUAUCUUGAACGCUGCUGAACAAAUUGAUGUAUUUUCAAUUGUAAUCUAAUUAAUUAUUUUCAUAGUGGGAUAGAUGCUGCCCCAAUGGAAUGUUUCAGUCUGAAUGUGGUGCUGCAGAUAUAUAGGAAACAAGUUUGAAGUUUGGAAAGUAUAUUUCUUCCUUAUUUGGAGUUGCUGUACACUAGAACUUGAUUGUUGACUAGAAGCCCAAUGUAAUUCUUCUGAAGUUUAAUCUGUUGUGAUCGUUCAUCAAUGUCAUAGAAGACGUGGGUAGGUGGAUUCAGUGGUUAAGAUGUUGCUUUGGAAGUCAGGAUCCAAAUGACGAUAAAUUUUGUAUACAUUCAGUUGCAUAGGGUUUGAAAUUGUCAUGAGCCUAUCUGGACAGUAAUUGUGAGAACAGGCUGGGCCACUUUAUGAUAGCUAUAAUGGUGUUCGAGGAAGCUCUGUUCUUCAGGUGUGCUGUUUGUGCAGUAUUCCUUUUCCUUAUGAUUCUUCAGAGGCACGUGUUUUAUACCAUCUGCAAAGUGCAAGUGAGAGAGAUGACAUGGGGACUAGCUAUGGUCGGCAUUUCUCAUGCAGAGAACUGUGAGAGGAAUUUCAUGCACUUGUACGAUACUUGAUACUCAAAAUGAUUAUAGUUAUCUUUAGAAGGGACUAGUCAAUAACUUUUGUUACUUAA